UUCACUUAUUUAUGAACAACUAAUGAUGAACAGAUAUCGACCUGUAUACCAGAACCAAACACAGUCAGUCAAUGAGAAAAAAUAUGUACAAAUCCAGAAUCAACAAAUUUACCCCCUGGGUCAGUGAAAUUUACCCCAGGAUGGGAACCCUUGAGCUAGGUCUAGGGAGGGAGG